ACAGAACCGCAUAUUCUUCGACCCUGCUUUCGAAGAAAAUAAAAAUACGAAGAGCCUUUCGCAGCCUUUUGCACGACUACAAUUCGCGGAAUCGCAAACUUUGAACGUUACGGGAUAAAACUUCCACGUUUAAGCUUGUAAUUGAGCUUUCAUUUAACGCCGGUCGUUGCGUAAAACGCGAGUUGUUUAAAAAGGUUUUAGAAGCCUUGGGAAUUAUUCUCUGUUUUAUCGUUCGAGAUAACGAGCACGAGAGAGGCCGACUUUUUUUCUUAGUUGUCCUGUAAGUUUCUCGGGAAAACGAGAUCGGUUCGAUUUAAUACAGCCAGAUACGGAUAUCAACGUCCUUCCUUCGCUCCUUUAUCGUUACAUAAAAGGAAGUUUCAAAGAACAAAGUUCUCGGAACUUUGAAAACAUUACUAAGCGAGUUACUCAAUUGUUUGUCUCGAUACGGGUUUACCCCGGGCGAUGCCUUCGCGGAAGAGACUAAGUUCAUAGUUCGAGGCGUCUACCGUGACAAGGAAUGGAAAGAAAAGAGAAAAAGAAGAAAAUAGGGAAGAUAAGCGGAACAUCCGGAACGAGUCUUCCCGCGGGAAGAGCAGGUCCAUCAGGUUCAUAUCCGAUGACGACAUGUCACGAAGCUUGCUGAUUUUACGCGACAGGCGUGAACACUACGCGCGCACUGUGAGCCGCUACGCUCCCAUCAAAAACACUCAACACUGCACGGAUAAAGCACACCUCGACACAAUACGGUAGAUAACACGUCCAAGCACGUCAGUCGACUAACGUUAAGGAAAAAGAGAUCGUCACGGACCGACCGACGGACGUUCGGCUCCUCGCCCCACCCUGUGUUACUUGCACUACACGGAAAGCGAGACGGAGAGAGGGACGGGACCGGUUUUCAGAUUCUUGCCUGCUCGAUCGGGCAUUUCUCGGGCGUCCGCUUUUUGACCAUCGCGAGACGAGAUGCUCGCACCGAGAAAUUCGAAUGCCUCCCUCCGAACUUGUGCGACGUUUAUUGGUACCAUGGGCAAAAGCAGCUGAGUGGUUUUCACCGAGAAUACUCUCACGACCCUCUCUAUUCAACUGCCAACGUGGCACUAAGCGCGUCACAGCGACAGGAGCCGAGUCUGCGCAGUGGCGCGUCCCACUGCUGUGCUUAGGGGAGGGGAUUCACGUCUAGCGGCGCGAUUUUUAAACUAUGUCAUUCUAAUGUACGCUUACUUCAAAUGUGAACCAGUGUAGAGAAAUUUUGCUCACCGCAAACCUAUGUUUUUAAAUCAUCGUCUACGUCGUCGGCUGUUAUGACGAUAUAAAUGAAACGUUUCUUCAAGCAAAAAGUUGUUUUUUUUUAGUUCUUUAAAACAUGCUUUAUAAUAUCCUUAAUUGUUACUUAUGGAAAUUAUUAUUUAAUAACUAAAAAAAAAAAAAUCACAAAGAAAUGUCGUUUUUCCUCUUCCUGACUGCGGCUAACCCCUUAAUUUUGUUGCGGUUUUCCUUUCGGAAGAAAGGCUUGCAAUGCGGUUUCUUUUACGUGUUACUACACAUCACUGCAUAUUACUAUUUUUAAAAUUGCGAACAUGAACACCGUAUAGAAAGUCUUAUUGAAUAAUAAAAAGAAACUUCAUGUUUAAAAUUUGAAUUCAUACAACAUGAUUUGACUAGAUUUUAAGCACAACCGGUAUCCUACAGGUAAU